rnacentral:lncRNA from 1 species
CUAUCUUUUAAAAAAUACUUUUGGGCUGAAAAAUGAUUUUCGGCUCAAUAGAGCAUUUGGUAACUCGAUUUCAAAAUCUAAUUUUAUUUUUUUAAAUCAAAAAAUUAAUUUUAAAGGUCUCAGAAUCAUAAGCAGAAAAAAGCUGCUUCUUGAAAUCUGAUUCUGAUUUUGGAUUUAAACUUCAAAUUUUUAUUUUUUUUUAAUUUCAAUAUUUAAAUCUAAAUUUAAUUUUAAUUUUUAAUUUUUAGAUUCAUUUUUGAAUUUUUAAAUUCUAACUUUUAAAU